CAUCUCAAGAUGCUCUUGGUGCAUCAACAGAAGAUCAGAAGUGGACCAUGCUUAUCUUGAUGCUACAGGGAACAAUGGUACAGUUGCCCCAUCCACUGUCAUCUCUGAACAUGCUGAAGGGCUGCCUGAAGCCAGGAACUUUCAGCGUUUAACAGAGGAGCAAGGCCAACUCCUAAGAAAAUGUCGAAGUGUUCAACAUUACUAUGAGACGGGAACUGAAGAUGAUAGACUGUAUUAAUUCAAUCAAAAGCCACAAGUGUUUGAAUUCUCUGAAGUGGAAUUAAAUAAAAAAACAACACAUUACACAGUUGGAUAACGACAGAUUGCACACUGAAACAAUAAUAAGUGUUCAAAGUGCUAGUACAUCUUGUACAUAGUGUCAAGGUGUCCAAGCAUGUCUCUGUAAGCCAAUGGUUCACUGCAUAUGAGGUUAAUUUAUAUCUUACAGUGGAUUGCAGCAAAAGGCCAGAGGAAAAUAUGUUUUGAUACUCAUCCGUAUUUUGA